AUCAAAACCUGAUGGGGGGAUACCACAAUCAAAAAGGUAGUUUUCUAGGGCAAGUUUCUUUCAUUGCACUUCAUUUGUGUUGAGCCCUGUGAUUUCCACAAAUGUAGGAAACUCAACUGCAUAAUUUAUGCUAGUGGUAUGAUGUAAUGUAGGUGUUCCUG